AGUGAACGCUGGCGGUAGGCCUAACACAUGCAAGUCGAACGGCAGCACAGUAAGAGCUUGCUCUUACGGGUGGCGAGUGGCGGACGGGUGAGGAAUACAUCGGAAUCUACUUUUUCGUGGGGGAUAACGUAGGGAAACUUACGCUAAUACCGCAUACGACCUACGGGUGAAAGCAGGGGAUCUUCGGACCUUGCGCGAUUGAAUGAGCCGAUGUCGGAUUAGCUAGUUGGCGGGGUAAAGGCCCACCAAGGCGACGAUCCGUAGCUGGUCUGAGAGGAUGAUCAGCCACACUGGAACUGAGACACGGUCCAGACUCCUAAGGGAGGCAGCAGUGGGGAAUAUUGGACAAUGGGCGGAAGCCUGAUCCAGCCCUACCGCGUGGGUGAAGAAGGCCUUCGGGUUGUAAAGCCCUUUUGUUGGGAAAGAAAAGCAGCAGGUUAAUACCCCGCUGUUCUGACGGUACCCAAAGAAUAAGCACCGGCUAACUUCGUG
rnacentral:rRNA from 1 species